rnacentral:rRNA from 1 species
UACGGAGGGUGCAAGCGUUAUCCGGAUUCACUGGGUUUAAAGGGUGCGUAGGUGGGUCUGUAAGUCAGUGGUGAAAUCUCCAAGCUUAACUUGGAACUGCCGUUGAUACUAUAGACCUUGAAUGCUGUGGAGGUGAGCGGAAUAUGUCAUGUAGCGGUGAAAUGCUUAGAUAUGACAUAGAACACCAAUUGCGAAGGCAGCUCACUACCCAGAAUAUUGACACUGAGGCACGAAAGCGUGGGGAUCAAACAGG